CGGUAUAUAUACCAUGGUAUCGAUAUUGUUCAGCAUCAGUUGAAUUUGAUUGAAAAUGCACUUCACAUUGUUUGCACUUUUAGCUCUUUUGAGCGUUCUUUUGAUGACAGGAGUUGCUAAUGCACAAAUCUGUCGAAAUUCGGGUCAGAGUUGUCAAAGAAACAGGCAAUGUUGCAGCGAAGUCUGCCAAUCAAGAUCAAAAACUUGCAAGUAAUUGACGCCAGGUGAUGAAAAUAUUCGUGGAUUGUACUUAUAUGAAGACUAUUGCAUAUUUUGAAUGUUGAAACUCUAAAUAAACUUGGAUAUUAAA